rnacentral:misc_RNA from 1 species
UCUCCGUUGGUGAACCAGCGGAGGGAUCAUUACCAGAGUUUUACAACUCCCAACCCUUCUGUGAACCUACCUAUCGUUGCUUCGGCGGACUCGCCCCAGCGUCCGGACGGCCCCGCGCCGGCCCGCGACCUGGACCCAGGCGGCCGCCGGAGACCACAAAAUCCUGUAUCCAUCAGGCUCUCUGAAUCCGCCGAAAGGCAAAACAAACGAAUCAAAACUUUCAACAAUGGAUCUCUUGGUUCUG